GCAACUAGCUCAGUCAGCAGAGCACGAGACUUUUAAUAUCUGGGUCGUGGGUUCAAGCCCCACGUUGGCG